rnacentral:rRNA from 1 species
AGAUUGAACGCUGGCGGCAUGCCUAACACAUGCAAGUCGAACGGGAGUAGCAAUACUCUAGUGGCGGACGGGUGAGGAAUACGUAGGAAUUUGCCCUUAAGUGGGGGAUAACCCGGGGAAACCCGGAUUAAUACCGCAUGACCUCGAAAGAGCAAAGUGGGGGAUCGCAAGACCUCACGCUUUUGGAGAAGCCUACGUCGGAUUAGCUAGUUGGUGAGGUAAUGGCUCACCAAGGCGACGAUCCGUAACUGGUCUGAGAGGAUGAUCAGUCACACCGGAACUGAGACACGGUCCGGACUCCUACGGGAGGCAGCAGUGGGAAUAUGGACAGUGGGCGCAAGCCUGAUCCAGCAAUGCCGCGUGUGUGAAGAAGGCCUUGGUUGUAAAGCAACGUUUAAGUAGGGAAAGAAAAACUCGACGUACUAACACAGU